CGAGGGGGGCAAAUGUUGUUCGGAAUCACUGGGCGUAAAGGGAGCGUAGGCGGGUUUCUAAGUCAGGUGUUUAAUCCCGGGGCCCAACCCCGGACAGGCACUUGAAACUGGGAAUCUUGAAUAGUGGAGAGGUCAGUGGAAUUGGGGGUGUAGCGGUGGAAUGCGUAGAGAUCCCCAAGAACACCAGUUGCGAAGGCGGCUGACUGGACACAUAUUAACGCUGAGGCUCGAAAGCAUGGGGGAGCAAACAGGAUUAGAUACCCUGGUAGUCCAUGCCAUAAACGAUGAAUACUAGGUUUUGGGCCCGUCAACGGUCCAGAGCCGCAGCUAACGCGUUAAGUAUUCCGCCUGGGGAGUACGGUCGCAAGACUG
rnacentral:rRNA from 1 species